GCACAGAAGUUGGCAACACUGGGAUAGCAUGAGCAGUCCAGAAAGAGCAUGGUGCUGUCCUGCUUCAAUGACGCAUCAUUGGCCAAUUUCCUUAACUUAGCUGGCAGAGCCUAGCAUGAGACAGUCCCUGUCCAUCCUCCCAAGCCCAUGUCUUGCUUCACAACCACCAGCUACGUGCACUCCUUUUUGUCUUCAGAUCAUCAUAAGUAAGCACGAUUCUACUUCAGAGCUGCUGCACUUACUACUUCUUUUCUCUGGAACAUUCUCUCCUACCUGUUUGUAUGGCUGACCCUUUCUUACUCUUUAGGUCUUACCUCCUCCAGGAGGCUACCCUCAGGGCCAUUUUCCCAGAAGCAAAUCCUCUAGUAUUCCCUAUCACAGCACAUACCACAUGUCACAUGGGAUGCAUUGUGACCUGUCAUUACACUCAGCAGUGUAGUGUGAGACCUGGGAGCAGGGACGCUGUCUUGUUCCUGUUGUACCCGUAGUGUCCAGAUCAAUCUCUGACUCUAUGAUUGAUAGAAAUUUGUUGAAUGAAAAAAGGAAAACAUCAAUGAAUGAAUGUAGGAAUGGAUGAAAAAUUUGGAAAGAGACUGGUCUGGGUAUCUGCCAUUGGUUUCUCCAAGUUCAAUCUCCAUCCUUCAUCCAAUUCUGUGUCAUGAAAGGCUGACCUGUACUAACCACAUCAAUAUCUACCCUCUGGGUUGGAUUCAACCAAAAGGAAGCAGCUAAGGGAGAGAAAGGAGUUGGUGCCUCCAGCUGGCUGCAUCUCUCCCCUGAUGGUCUCUGUAAGGAUCUCCUCACACAGUCUCUGCUUCUAGGGAAGGGUACUGGAAGUUGUUUUUCUAAUCAUGAAUUGCAAUCUGGAAUGAGCUGGUCACAUCACUUAGCCUCCUGUCGAGUUCUCUAAUUAAGAAAAUAGGAAAACUCUGAGUGAGGAGACGCCUCUCUGCAGUGUCGGAAGUGAAAAAUCCUUAUCAAUAUCUGACGGAAUAAAGGUCAAUGUUGAACAUACACGAUAACCGGUGGUCUAUGCAAUGUGCCCCGUGUUCCUCCAGGCAAAUAAUUUUAUCAUCUCUUCAUCGAAAGAUGAAUGGAUAAAGAAGCUGUGGUCUAUGUAUACAAUGGAAUAUUCCUCAGCCAUUAGAAACGACAAAUACCCACCAUUUGCUUCAACGUGGAUGGAACUGGAGGGUAUUAUGCUGAGUGAAUGGAGUUGCUACCUCUGUUCCACCCAUGCUUCUCCUGGGGGUUCAAGCUGCCUUCUGCUGCUUUUAGGAAUUGAUGGACCUUGUAGCCACUGCACAGCCAGCUCUCCACCCCAUGGCUCCAUGUCCACAGAUUCAGAAGGUGCUGGGAGGAAAGGGAGAAAUCAAAUCAUUUUGGACAGGAGACUGCAAAAAUACCCUUUGCUCAACCCUGUCUAUUUAUUGCCAGUGUCAACAGUCAAAGCUAGUGACAGAAGACUUUUUGACCUUGUCACUAUUUGAGCUGGAGAAGAUCCGUCUAUAGUUUUACCUUUGAAUCAAAAUCUGAAGGAUCCCUGGAAUUUGAGCAUUAUGAGAAUCUCCGGAAGUACCCAGGACUGCUCUCCCUCGGGGUCUCCAGGAAGGUCGCCAGUGCUUCACCCUUGCUGUCAUGACUGUAGCUUCCUUGGCAGAGUGUACAAGCCUUCUUACUGCCAUGGAGCAUGGGUAUAUUUGGCUCAGUAACUAUGCUUAGAAGUUGGGUGGAAGAAGUUGUCAUGACAAGCUUCUGUUCUGCCUUUUCCCCAAGGAUGUGAAUUAUAUUGGUUGACACUGAAGAAUGACUAGAAUGCAGAUGUAGUAGGGAUUUUUCAGGGUGUAGUUAUAAGAGAAAGAGGACAUCAUCCUUUCUCAUUUGAUGCCCACAGUUUUUCUCUCCUGGCAGCAGCCAUAGCUCCAGGUGGAAAAGGCAACCUACUCAUUGAGGAAGUUCUAACCUCUACAGUCCGGGCUCCCUGGAAGAGGGACUGAACACUGAGGCAUCUAAAUUGCGUAUCCCUGCUCAGCUUCCAGAAAGUGACUUGAGUGAUUUAAUGUUCCAGCAGAGCUAUGAGGCAAGGUGGCUUCCAUAUCUUUGAAGUCUGUGAGUACAAAAGUUAGUCCACUGGCUUUACUGGUUGAGAAUUCCACUUCCUCAUGACUGUAUUUGUGCCUUCCUGAAGCCAUGCGCUUGGAUAAUGCUGAUGGAUGACUCACCCAAGUGGGAAUGACCAUUUUUUUCAUUAGUCAAAAAGCUCCAAAUUUGAGUCAAAUGAUAUAUAAUUUUUGUGGAGGAAAGCGUAUCCAUCAUCUCUUGCUGGGUUACGCCACGAUAAUAAAUGACCCUCAAAUUUCAGUUCCUUACAAGAAUAAAAACUAAUAUUUCGCUCAUGUUCCAUGUUGGUUAAGGUCACCUAUGGCUCCAUCCCUCCUCCUCUUCACUUUGGCAUCUGUGUUGCUAGAAAAUUCCCAACUGAGGAUAUGAUGAGCCUUGUGUCAGAGGGAAAAUGUAUUGGAACCUCACAUGGCUCUCAAUGCUUCUACACCUGUCACUCUCACUGCCAUGUCACUUGCCAGAGGAAAUCACAUGGCCAAAUCUAAUAGGAAUGUAAAAUUGUCCCAAAGCAGACACAGUGACUAUUUUGCAAAAUAAUAAAAUCUAUCAGAAGGAGUGUGAGACAAAACUGUUUAGAGUCUGAGCAAGACUUGUGGGGAAAAUCUUUUGUUGGCACCCAGGGUGCCAAAUGUAUUUCAAAAAAUAGCUAUCAUAAGAGACCUUUAAACUAUGACCAUAGGACGAGGUGCCCCAGAAAGCUUUCCUAAAUUAGCCCAGAAGUCUCCUACUCACCAGCUUUCUUAAGGAGAGUCCCCUUCCACUGUCCUUAAUCCAUCAGUGAGCUGUUUUCUUUGUGGCAAUAUAAAAUAAUUAUGAAAAUAUGUCUUACUGCUUGCUUCUCUUAUUGGAUUAGAAGGUAUCUAAGAGCACAAUAAAUGUCAUUGCUUAACUGUAAAGUUCCUAAAAAAUCACAGCAAAUCCUAACUUGGAUAUUAUGUUCAUUUCUCAGAAUGAGAAAAUAAUUUGGUUCCAAGAUCCUUUAUCACUUAUUUUUUUCUUUUUCAAGAUACAGAGCAAAGCAGGCACUAUUCAUCCAUCCAUCUAUCCAACAAAUAUUGAAUGCCCAUUAUAGUCCAUCCACUAAGUCAGGUAUUGAAUUGUGAUACCAGAUGCUCAGUUUUUGCCCUUGUGAAUCUUACGUUUUAGUGGGAAUGACCCAGACAAAUCAAAUAACCACAAAAACGUAAUUAUAAACUGUGAUAAACAUUAGGAGCAAAACGUAAAAGCAUAAUUUAAGAAUAUAUAUAGAGGACUAACUUACUUGGUGUCUUUAUGAAGUCUUCUCUGAGGCAAUUACAAUUGAGCUGAGAUCUGGAAGAAAAGUAGCAGUUAACUAUAUAAAAUGAAGACAAAAAAUUCAAAGAAGCUGCAAAGGCAUGUGCAAAGGCCCUGAGGUGGGAGGAAGGGAAGAAAAACCAGUUGUGAGGGAGUAUAAAAAGCAAAAAAGCACACAAUGUGAAGCAAGUGGGGCCAGUUUACUCAGUGUCUUUUAUGUCUUUUUAGUCUUUAUUCACUGAAAGGUCUUUAGAAAGGACAUACCAAAAUCUGAGUUUUUAGGUGUCACUCUGGUUGGCAUGUGAAGUAGAUUGGAGAGUGGCAGAUGAGUGGAUGAAAUCUUUUGCAGUAACAGCGAUAGAAAUUUCUGCUCAGUGCAAAACUAGCCCCUAAAAAUUGAAUGGCAUACUACUGACAUUCUGGAUUUUUAGUUCCAAUAAAUAUUUUUUUAAAAAAAUUAGACUCUGGGACACCUCAGUGGUUGAGCAUCUGCAUUGGGCUCAGGGUGUGAUCCCGGGGUCCUGGGAUUGAGUUUCACAUCAGGCUCCCCAUGGGGAUAAAAUUAAUAAAAAAAAAUUAGACCCCAAUUUAGCAGAACUAAAAUCUAAUUUAAGUUAGCUCAUGGUUCAUGAUUUACAACACUGUUCAAAAUAUACCUCUGAGCUGAAUAAUCUCAACUAUACCACAAGUGUAGGCCUAUGACCCUCUAGGAUUUCAGUGGAGGGGCUUCAGGGCAUUCACAGAGCUUCCGAAAUUCCAUAAAAAUUAGGUAUGUUAUUCUUACAUGUUUUUCUAGGGAGAAGGUCUAUCAAUUUUAUCAAAUUCGAGACCCCCAAAUGAUUAAGAAAUACUGAUUCACCUUACCACUUGACCAACGCAUAGUUACACUAUCCUGGGAAAUAUGUCUUGAAUUGGUGGGAAAGGUUAGUAGGCCAGCAAAGGUUUGAUUCUCCAGGGCAGAGGGGCUGCUGGGAAGUGGCUGCCUAGCCAGAGACUGUGUACCCCUGUUCCCUGGGAUCCCUCAGUGGGGAGGGAGGGAUGUGACCACUUCUGACUGAUAGGAUGUAUGUAGACAUUUUACAUGACACUUGUGUGUGAAGUUGGGUAUGUAUCUGACAUACCUUUCCCAUAAUUUCUCCACCUUCUCUAGUGACCAUGGAGGUCACGUUUUGAAACUGACAGCAUCACAAGAUGGAAGAAUCUUUGACUGCUGAGUCACAGAGUCAGCCAGGAGGGCUGUCCAACUCUGAACACCUGCAUUGGAUUUUUGUGAUUAAGAAAUAAAUUUGUAUUGUCUUAUGCAAUAGAGAUUUAAGGUUAUUUGUUACAGCAGUUAAUCCACUCUGGCAUAAAAAAAAAUAACAUCUCACACAGGAAAGACACCGUAAUAUGGGUGUGUUGGCUGGAAAAAAGUCCUCUUUAGAGUUCUUCCUGGAAUAAAGAAACAACA